rnacentral:rRNA from 1 species
AGAUUGAACGCUGGCGGCAGGCCUAACACAUGCAAGUCGAGCGGUAGAGAGGUGCUUGCAUCUCUUGAGAGCGGCGGACGGGUGAGUAAUGCCUAGGAAUCUGCCUAGUGGUGGGGGAUAACGUUCGGAAACGGACGCUAAUACCGCAUACGUCCUACGGGAGAAAGCGGGGGACCUUCGGGCCUCGCGCCAUUAGAUGAGCCUAGGUCGGAUUAGCUAGUUGGUGAGGUAAUGGCUCACCAAGGCGACGAUCCGUAACUGGUCUGAGAGGAUGAUCAGUCACACUGGAACUGAGACACGGUCCAGACUCCUACGGGAGGCAGCAGUGGGGAAUAUUGGACAAUGGGCGAAAGCCUGAUCCAGCCAUGCCGCGUGUGUGAAG